AUUGAACGCUGGCGGAAUGCUUUACACAUGCAAGUCGAACGGCAGCACGGACUUCGGUCUGGUGGCGAGUGGCGAACGGGUGAGUAAUAUAUCGGAACGUGCCCAGUCGUGGGGGAUAACGUAGUGAAAAUUACGCUAAUACCGCAUACGAUCUAUGGAUGAAAGCGGGGGACCUUUGGGCCUCGCGCGAUUGGAGCGGCCGAUAUCAGAUUCGGUAGUUGGUGGGGUAAAGGCUCACCAAGCCAACGAUCUGUAGCUGGUCUGAGAGGACGACCGGCCACACUGGGACUGAGACACGGCAGAGACUCCGACGGGAGGCAGCAGUGGGGAAUUUUGGACAAUGGACGCAAGUCUGAUCCAGCCAUUCCGCGUGCAGGACGAAGGCCUUCGGGUUGUAAACUGCUUUUGUACAGAACGAAAAGGUUUCUACUAAUACUAGGAGCUCAUGACGGUACUGUAAGAAUAAGCACCGGCUAACUACGUGCCAGCAGCCGCGGUAA
rnacentral:rRNA from 1 species